AUUGAACGCUGGCGGCAGGCCUAACACAUGCAAGUCGAGCGUGCGGCGGACGGGUGUGUCAUGUCUGGGAAACUGCCUGAUGGAGGUGGUUAACUACUGGAAACGGUAGCUAAUACCGCAUCCCAUCAGCUGUGCCCAGAUGGGAUUAUCUAGUAGGUGGGGUGACGUCUCACCUAGGCGACGAUCCCUAGCUGGUCUGAGAGGAUGACCAGGGACACUGGAACUGAGACAAGGGGCAGACGCCUACGGGAGGCAGCAGUGGGGAAUGUGGCAGAGUGGGCGCAAGCCUGAUGCAGGGAUGGCGCGCGGGGGAAGAAGGCAUGAGGGUUGUAAAGCACUUUCAGCGGGGAGGCGUUAGCCGCAGAAGAAGCACCGGCUAACGCCGUGCUAGCAGCCGCGGUAAUUC
rnacentral:rRNA from 1 species